rnacentral:rRNA from 1 species
UCAGGAUGAACGCUGGCGGCGUGCCUAAUACAUGCAAGUCGAGCGAACGGACGAGAAGCUUGCUUCUCUGAUGUUAGCGGCGGACGGGUGAGUAACACGUGGAUAACCUACCUAUAAGACUGGGAUAACUUCGGGAAACCGGAGCUAAUACCGGAUAAUAUUUUGAACCGCAUGGUUCAAAAGUGAAAGACGGUCUUGCUGUCACUUAUAGAUGGAUCCGCGCUGCAUUAGCUAGUUGGUAAGGUAACGGCUUACCAAGGCAACGAUGCAUAGCCGACCUGAGAGGGUGAUCGGCCACACUGGAACUGAGACACGGUCCAGACUCCUACGGGAGGCAGCAGUAGGGAAUCUUCCGCAAUGGGCGAAAGCCUGACGGAGCAACGCCGCGUGAGUGAUGAAGGUCUUCGGAUCGUAAAACUCUGUUAUUAGGGAAGAACAUAUGUGUAAGUAACUGUGCACAUCUUGA